rnacentral:rRNA from 1 species
CCUACGGGAGGCUGCAGUCGAGAAUCAUUCACAAUGGGGGAAACCCUGAUGGUGCGACGCCGCGUGGGGGAAUGAAGGUCUUCGGAUUGUAAACCCCUGUCAUGUGGGAGCAAAUUAAAAAGAUAGUACCACAAGAGGCAGAGACGGCGAACUCUGUGCCAGCAGCCGCGGUAAUACAGAGGUCUCAAGCGUUGUUCGGAAGCACUGGGCGUAAAGUGUGCGGAGGCGGUUUCGUAAGUCGGGUGUGAAAGGCGCGGGCUCAACCCGGGGACGGCACAUGAGACUGCGAGACUAGAGUAAUGGAGGGGGAAGCGGAAUUCUAGGUGUAGCAGUGAAAUGCGUAGAUA